CUGAGGCCGCGCUGUGGGGGAGCUGACCGGAAACGCGUCUUCUCUAGAGGCGAUCAGCGGUUGUUGGCGGUCACAGGCAUACCCCGUCACACCAGCCUACUGGCUGCAGUGUGGACCUGCGAGCUUUAAUAAGCAGGAGCGAGCAGCGGGUGGAAGGAGGUAAACUACUCCUCGCCUUUCUGCAGCAUAUGGUGCCUAGGUCAUAAUCAUCCCAGACAGCAUGCAAAUACUCCAACCUCCACCCAAUCCCUGGACCAUCUGGAUAAGAACUGGUUAAUUGAGAACUCUAAUGUCAUUUUAUGCUCAGCAUAGUUAAAUAGUGUAGUGUCUUCUCCCACAAGAACUCAGUCUAUUACACAAUCUACUAUAUUAUCUGCCUGUAUGUAAUGAUCUUUGACUCAGACCUUUUUGUAGUCCUUUAUAUGACUACGUCAAAAUCUGUCAGUAUAGCUAAAAUUCCCAUCUUCUCAAAUCUCAGUUACUGCAAUAUCAUUUCCUUUGGCCUUGGAAAAUAUAACCUUGUCUUGCUCAUAUCCACUGAGAAUGCAGCUACAAAGGCCAUUUUUCUUAGUCUGUCAUUUUCACCAAGUUAUUUCUCUCUUUUCAUCUCUCCACUGGCUCAGCCUCCUCUGUCAUGUUGAUUCUUACUAAGGUGUCUUUAGUUUGAAAGGCCUGAUAGCCUGUCUUCACCUUGCUUGCCAUUUCCAUUCACUUCUGAGGUCUUACUGCAGCUCCCUUCAGCUCAUGAUGCCACUUUUCACAGCCCACCGUAACAUGUUUAAACAUCUGCCUCUAUAUGUUCUUUUGGCUGCCUUUGCUUUCUAGGGAUCCUCUAAAUGGUCACAAAGUUGCUAAUCAUUUGUCUUCAAUAUGUUACUUAAAACUUCUCUUUCUUGUAAUGUCUAAUGUACAGUGUCACAAUUCCAUGUGCUGCCUCUCGUGUCUGUAUUCCUCACUUCUCCCAUUUCUUUGUUUGACUGUAAAGUGCUUCAGGGCAGGAAUCAUUUGUGUUUACUCUGAUCCACAAUCCAGG
ensembl:lncRNA